UUUUUGGGGGGGGGGUUAAAUAGGGGGUGAAAUCCCGUUUUUUUCCGGUAUUGCGGAAUCGCUUUGCUUUCGCGUGGUGCGAUCGCUUGCGGCAGGUAUAACCCAACCAUGGUGCUACAACAACGCGCGGUGCAAACCCUCUUUUGGGGGGGGGGGGAUUGGACCCCCCCCCCAUGGGUUUUUUGCAGCUCUUUUUAAUUCCCGGGGGGGUUUGUUGGUGCUCCCGGCGGAUCCGGCUCGCCGGCGGCCCCCCGGCUCGGUGCUCCGGAGGCUCCCGCGGCCUCCCGUCCCCCCGGCUGCAUCCCGGCGGCGGGCGCGGACCCCCCCCCGGGUGCCUCCAUCGCUGGGGUGGGAUUUUCCCCCUUUGAUCCUGGAGCGGGAUUUGGGGCUCGGUGUUUUCAAGUGAAAUCUCGCCCCCCACGGUGCUACGGUGCUCGAACGCCGCGCGUCGCCCCGAUCCAUCCCGCCGAGGUGCUAACGCCCGCGAACCGCCACGUCCAGGCGUCCGCGUCGCCGUCCCGGGGCGAGGGGACGCCGGCGGGGGACGGGUGGCACCGCGGUGACGGUGUCGUCCCCCCCAACGCCGGUGGGUGCUGCCCCGUCGGGACGGCAGCGCGUCGCUCUUAUGCAAACGGGAAUUGGUGCUGCGCCGAAGCGCCGGCGGCUCGUGGCUGUUCUGGUUGUCGCCGGUGCGCUGGGUGUGCGGCACGGUGUGCGGCACGGUGUGCGGGCAUGGUGUGCGGCACAGCGCCUGCACACCGUGCAUUGACAUGGUGAACAGGCAGGGUGUGCGUGCAGGGUGUGUGCAACAGCGCACGCACACCGUGCAUAGGCAUGGUGCACAGGGACGGUGUGCGUGCAGGGUGUGCGGCACGGUGCACGCACAACGUGCACUGACAUGGUGCACAGGCACGGUGUGCAGGCCGAGUGUGCGUGCACGGUGUGCGGUAUAGCGCCUGCACACCGUGCACAGGCACGGUGCACAGGAAGGGUGUGUGUGCACGGUGUGUGGCACGGUGCAUAGGCACGGUGUGCGUGCACGGUGUGCGGCGCGGUGCACACACACCGUACAUAGGCAUGGUGUGCAGGAAGGGUGUGCGUGCACGGUGUGCGGCACGGCACACGCACACCGUGCAUAGGCAUGGUGCACAGGGACGGUGUGUGUGCAUGGUGUACAUACACCGUGCACAGGCACAGUGAACAGGCAGGGUGUGCAUGCACGGUGUGCGGCAUGGUGUACACACACCGUGCAUAGACAUGGUGCAGAGGCACGGUGUGCGUGCAUGCUGUACACACACCGUGCACAGGCACAGUGCACAGGCACGGUGUGCGUGCACAGCACACAGGCACGGUGCAGAGGCACGGUGUGCGGGCACAGUGUGCCUGCACAGUGCAUGGCAUGGUGUGAGGCACAGUCUGUGUGUGUGCAGUGUGUGUGUGUGCGCGGUGUGCAGCGCGGCGCACACACACAGUGCCUAAGUGUAGCGCACAGGCACAGUGCAUGGCAGGGUGUGCAGACACCGUGUAAGGGCACGGUGUGCGGACACAGUGUGCAGGCACGGUGUGCAGACGUGGUGCAGUGGCACGGUGUGCACACGCGGUGCAUGAGCACCGUGCACGGCCCAGAGUCUGUGCACGGUGCGUGGGCACAACGUAGGGGCACGGCGUGUGUCGCGGUGUGCGUGCAUGGUGCGCACGCACAGUGCACGGGCACGGCGUGUUACAGGGUGUGUGUGCAAGGUGUCCUGGCACAUUGCAUGUCCACGGUGCUCGUGCACGGUGCUCAUGCACGGUGCAUGCAUGGUGUGCGUGCACGCUGCGUUUGCACGCUGCGUGUGCAGGGUGCUCGUGCACGGUGCCCAGGCACUGUGCAUGCAUGGUGCUCGUGCACGGUGCUCGUGCACGGUACAUGCACGCUGCGUGUGCACGCUGCGUGUGCAUGCUGCGUGUGCACGGUGCUCGGGCACGGUGCAUGCAUGGUGCUCAUGCACACUGCGUGUGCAACACGCUCGUGCACGGUGCCCGAGCUGCACACACGGUGCCCAGCGCCGCGGGCACCCCACGCUCCCCAGCAGCAGCCUUCAGGUCCCCCUUCCCCUCUCUUUUCCCCCUUUUUACCCCUUUUCCAUGGUUUUAUGGGUGCUACUUCCCCCCGGGGUCCCCACGAUCGGAGGCUUUCGGCGUGCCAGGCGGCGCCGCCGGCAAAAAUCAGCAAAUACCUCAAAAUAACAAAAAAAAAAACACCCCACGUGAAACCCAGCGCAUCGGGGCCAGGGCGGCGAGGGGCGGAGGCGAGGCCCCCUCCUCCCGCUCCGCCCUCAGGGAUCCUUUUCGGGGGGGUCAGGAUAUAUAUAUAUAUAAUUUUUUUUUAUUUUUAACUUUUUUCCCGGGUUUUCCGCUCUUUCCGCAGCCGGCGUUCAGGGACGGCGCGCCGCCGGCUGGGCACGGCGCGUCCUGGCCUCCGUCCGUCCGUCCGUCCGUCCGCGGCGGCGGCGGGCUGCCGGGGGGCUUCGGCGGUUCCUUUGGGUUUAAACAAGCGCUUUGGGGCUUUUUCCCCUUUAUUUUCCCCUUUUUCUUUAAUUUCGGGCCGGCGGCGGGCGCCGCCGCCGCCCUCGUCCUCCUCGGCGCCGAGGCCUCCGGGGGAGGCACCUUGCGACUCACACUUGAAGAUUUAACCUUUUUUUCCUUUUUUUCCCCUCCUUUUUUAUUUUAUUUUAUUUUAUUUUUUCCAAUUCGCGUCGACUUGUGACUGUGGUUACUUGAAAUGAAGUUUUCUCCGGGGGUUGCGGGACGGGCGGUAGGUCUUACAAUGUCUCAAGGCAAUAGGAUUAAUGUGUAUUAAACUGUAGAUACUACUAGUACAGUAAAUUUAUGCCGAUAAUUUUAUUUUGUAUAAUUUUCCCCCUCUUUUGUUGGUGUUUUUCUUACGCUCUUCCCCCUCCCCCCCCCUUUUUUUCCAGUGUUUCGGUAAAUUUAUUUUUAGGAGGCCUAAAAAUUGCAAGUACGGACCCUUCCCUCUCUUUUUUUGGUUUUAAUUUGUAUUUUAUUCUGAGUUACACACAGCCAGCCGGUUUGUGAAAUGUAUUAUUCCUGAUAUCUUUAAAAUAUUGUGGGUGUUUUAAUAAAUUUUAUAUUUAUUUUUUGCACUCAAA